UUCAAAAACAAGCACAAAUAAUUUGACACUUUCUAACAGCAGCAAAUAAUGUGAUGUCUCAAUUGUAAAAUAGUACCAAGGCAAUAUGCAGAUGAAUGUACACUUCCUGACAGCAACAAACGAAGCAAGAAUUCAGGUAAGGUGAUGAUUCCAGAUGCACAAGUCAGGAGCACAGCACAGAUGGAUUGAAUGUCUUCUGACAGCAGUAAGAGGAAAGCACACAGAAACUUAGAGUUCAGAUUCUUUGAAAUUUUACACCAAGAUCUCCUAAUUAGAAUCAAUGUUAACCAAACACACAGAAAAUAGAGCAAAUUUAUCACACUGUCAGUCAAUGCUUACAGAUUUCAGGACAAAUGAAUGACUGAUUUUCUUCA